GCCGAGCAGUUCCUGGCACACGGCAGGCAGGAAGCACACAAAAGCGUCACCAGUGCUCUCUUGGCCUAUUAUUACCGGCCGGUUGAAAAGGAACAACUGCACGUAUUAGCACAGAAAGCACCCCAUGACCUAGCUUUAGAGAAGCUCUAUUGAGGAUUCAGUCAAAGGCGUCAAGAAAUCAUUAAAGCCUCAGACCCCACAGAUCUUUCUGUUCCACCAUUUCUGGUAAAGGACUCGGACUCAUGAUUGCUAUAAGGCUGCCACCCAUCCAGCCACCACAUCCGAGUUCCAGGGAGGAAAAAAAUCAAAGGCAAAAUGUCUAGAUAAGGUCUGGCCAAUCAGAGCAUGUUUCCGCAGAUCCUUUCCAUGGAGCGUUCUGUAGCUCAAGUCCCGGAACCUGCUAUGUGUCCCUAAGAUCGCAGUGCUCACGAUCUGGGGAGAAAGUGCCCCUGCAGACCUGGUGUCCUCUCGACCUCCAGCUGGACGUGAAGCCAGCACUCGGCCCGCACAGAAACAAGGCACCCCUGCCACUGCACCAGAACAGGGGCCUGGAGCAUAACUACUACAAGCACCCAGGAUCCGUCACAACUACAGCGAGAAGGUGGGGCGUUCAAGGCGUACAUUUUGCUGCUGUAUUUCUUAACAUCCCAUGGGCAUACUGGUUGCUGGGAACAAAAGCUCCCCAAGGCAUCAUGGAUCUGCUAUAGAAGUAGAAUUGGGGAAACCAGAGAGGAGGAUUUAAAUACACACGAUGUGCUGUGAGAUUUCAUUUAGAUUCUCUAAUUAUUUCCCACAAACAG
rnacentral:lncRNA from 1 species